GAUGAAAGCUAGCUACAGGCUUAACACAUGCAAUUCGAGGGGUCUCGCGGGAGCUUGCUUCCAAGAGACGACAGGCGCACGGGUGAGUACCGCGUAUGCAAACUGCACUUCAUCUUGGGAUAGCCUUCCGAAAGGAAGAUUAAUACCGAAUAACAUGAGAAAGUUACCUGCUUCCCUCAUGAAAGCUCCGGCUGUGACGGAUGGGGAUGCGUUCCAUUAGGUAGUAGGCGAGGUAACGGCCCACCUAGCCCACGAUGGAUAGGGGUUCUGAGAGGAAGGUCCCCCACACUGUAACGGAGACACGGUCCAGACUCCUACGGGAGGCAGCAGUGAGGAAUAUUGGUCAAUGGGCGCAAGCCUGAACCAGCCAAGUAGCGUGAAGGAUGACUGCCCUAUGGGUUGUAAACUUCUUUUAUACGGGAACAAACCUUGGUACGCGUACCAAAUUGCGUGUACCGUAUGAAUAAGCAUCGGCUAACUCCGUGCCAGCCGCCGCAGUAAUAC
rnacentral:rRNA from 1 species